AACGAACGCUGGCGGCGUGCUUAACACAUGCAAGUCGAACGGUAAGGCCCUUCGGGGUACACGAGUGGCGAACGGGUGAGUAACACGUGGGUGAUCUGCCCUGCACUUCGGGAUAAGCCUGGGAAACUGGGUCCAAUACCGGAUAGGACCCUGGGAUGCAUGUCCUGGGGUGGAAAGCUUUUGCGGUGUGGGAUGGGCCCGCGGCCUAUCAGCUUGUUGGUGGGGUGAUGGCCGACCAAGGCGACGACGGGUAGCCGGCCUGAGAGGGUGACCGGCCACACUGGGACUGAGAUACGGCCCAGACUCCUACGGGAGGCAGCAGUGGGGAAUAUUGCACAAUGGGCGCAAGCCUGAUGCAGCGACGCCGCGUGAGGGAUGACGGCCUUCGGGUUGUAAACCUCUUUCAGCACCGACGAAGCGCAAGUGACGGUAGGUGCAGAAGAAGGACCGGCCAACUACGUGCCAGCCGCCGCCGUAA
rnacentral:rRNA from 1 species